rnacentral:lncRNA from 1 species
GUGUUUUUUCUUUAAUUUGGGCAUUUUCAUUACAAUGUAGUACUUGUGAUAUAAUUUUACACAGAUAAAAUGUGAAAAAAAGUAUAAAAAAAAUGCAGAGCAUUCAAAAAGGAGAAAUCCAUAAAAAGUAAUGAAAUGAAACGCUAUCAACUAACCAAACAGUGGAAACAACCAGCACAUUCCUGAAAAAACAGUAUACAUGUACCUUUAAAUUAGGUUUCCACAUUUAAAGCAGACAGAUUGCCAAGGAGAAGUGAAGACAGAUUUGUUAAUCAAAAACGGUGCUAAAUAUAUAAUUCAGAUUUUGAAAAAUAAAACUUGGCAUACAAUGUGCAUGCUGUAGUUGGGGCAAUUAAGGAACCAAAAUGAAUAAAUUGGAAAAUUUAAGAAUUUUGGAGUGAAUGUUAAAUCCUGACUAAAGUCUUCUCAUAAAAAAUUUAAUUUAGCUACAACAUAUAUUUUUUACCAACAAAAUUAGUAUCCUAUUAGAAAAUCAACUGGAUAAUAUAAUAUGGAUGAUAAUAAGAAGUUUCUGAAUAAAAAUAC